rnacentral:lncRNA from 1 species
AAAUCUUUUCCAUGCAGGGGUAUUUUUUGGUGCAUGCGAGAGAUUGGUAGACAGAUGGUACAUGCAAUAACCUUGAGCUGCAUCCGGAAAAAUAUUGAAUACAGCUUCAAUCAAACCUUUUUGUCUGUCGGAAACAAUAGUAAGUAUACUGUUUGCUCUGCUGAUACCGCGAUCACCGACGACACCAUCCCGCAACUGUUCCAGAAACCAGUCCCAGGAAUAUCGAUUUUCACCUUGCACAACUACCUACGCUAAU